GUCCCUGUAGUUUAGCGGAUAGAACACUGGCCUCCGAAGCCAGAGAUCGGGGGUUCGAAUCCUCCCAGGGACG
rnacentral:tRNA from 1 species